rnacentral:rRNA from 1 species
AGUGAACGCUGGCGGCAUGCCUAACACAUGCAAGUCGAACGACAACACAGUAAGCUCUUGCCCUUACGGGUGGCGACUGACGGAUGAGUGACGCAUACAUCGGAUUCUUCUUUUACGUGGGUGAUAACGUGGGGCCGGUUCUGCUACUGCCGCAUACUACCUACGGCAUGAUUCAAUGGUUCUACGUGCCUUUGCUGACUCUUAUAGCCGGUGCCGGAUUAGCUAGUUGGCUGGGUAAAGGCUCACCAAGGCGACGAUCCGUAGCGGGUCUGAGAGGAUGAUCAGCCACACUGGAACUGAGACACGGUCCAGACUCCUACGGGAGGCAGCAGUGGGGAAUAUUGGACAAUGGGCGCAAGCCUGAUCCAGCCAUACCGCGUGAGUGAAGAAGGCCUUCGGGUUGUAAAGCCCUUUUGUUGGGGAAGAACAGCAGUAGAUUAAUACGCGGCUGUUCUGACGGUACCUAAAGAAUAAGCACCGGCUAACUUCGUG